rnacentral:lncRNA from 1 species
CGUGACCGGACCAGCCAAGCCGACCGCCCGGACGCCGCCUCCUUCGCCGCUCGUCGUCCACCGUUCGUCGCCGUCGCCGGAGCCGUCACGGUCGCCGUUCGUCCGCACGCCGGCACCACCGCUCGCACCACCGUCACCCCCCCUCUCCUCCAUCUCCGCUACAGCUCGAUGCACCAGCAGAUCCGAAGACGCCGGAGCAGCCCACGGUCCAGCCGGAUCGCCGUCGCGCACCCCUCUCGCGCCGUCCGUUGCCUCGCACGCCGCUGCUGUCCCGCGAGCCGCCUCCCUCACCAUCGUCCUCGCUCGUCUUCGCCUCCAGGAGGCUGUUCGGCCAGUUUAGGCCACGGCUCAGCCGCCUCCGGCCACCGUGCACCCCCGCCUUAGCCCGCCGGAGCUCCGCCUAGUCCUUGCCGCCCUUGCUCGCCCCAACCGACGCCGGAUCAGCCCUCCUCCGAGCUUGCUCAGUAGCUGCAAAAAUGGGUAUUGCAGCGGGGUUUUG